UCCAGAGGAGCUUCGAGUCCGAAGCUCCCAUACCUGAGCUGGUCCUUUUUUGCCCCGCCCCGGAGUCAGUCGCCCAAUCUGGGAGCUGACAUCACGCCUGCACUCUCUACUUCCUCUCGCCCUCCUUCUGGAGCCGUGAGCGUCCGCGCUUUUUCCGGUGUCGCGGUGCUUCCGUGUUGUCUACACCUGUGAGCAAGCAGUGAGAAAUUAAGUUGUUGACGUCUAGUAAACCGACCGAUCUGUUUGUUUUCUUUUUCGCAAGGGGUAGUUAAGACGCUCUCCUCCUGUUAAACUGUCUCAUUUCAAAAGCCUUUUAGGUUGAGAUGUGCGUUCGUUCCCUCUUUGGCUCCAGCGUCCCUGGAAUAGUUUUCUGUUCGUGGCCAUUCUACUUCUUUUGUGAAGGCAGGGAGCUUGGCUCCCAUCAAAUGCAUAUGAAAAACUCACGACAACAAGCACUUCUUGUCAGAAGAAGACUCUGAGAUGAUGGUUUGAGUGCAAGUUGAGUGCAAGAAGUGGCCCUAGGAAACUCCAUUCAGAGGAUGGAGAAGUGAAACAAAGAAGAUAGGCAGUAAAGCGUGUGCUGUUAAUAAACCAGCUACCAUAGUGGGUGAUGAGAACCUAAUCCUGAUGAGGAACUCUGGCAACUAGUACACAAGAAACAUCUUGGAAUUAUCCCUACGGAGGGGUGAGGAAGCUGGGAUGUUAAUACUCCAUCUACUGAGAGUCCUGAGUGGAGAAGCUGUUGCCAGCAUGGUAAUCCCCAGGUUCUUCUGGUCUAGGAUGCCUGGGCAAGGCAGACGUCUAGUUUUAGAAAAAAGUCCUCAGGAAUAAAGAUACAGAUAUGGACUGUUGGGAGUUGGUUGCAGCACAAUUAAAAGAGUAAAUAAAGUUCAAGAAAUGAGCGUGGGAUGCUGGUAGCUUCUGCUACAACGGGCAGUUUUUUGUUUGCAGACAAAAGGGUGCUCAGGAAUGGAAAAGCAUAGACUUUUUCUGUAAGAAGCACUUGCUAGUUUCCACUUGGAAUCCCUGCAGCUUCAAUAUAUGGACAAUUUCUCAGCAUCCUCAGUCCUGCAUAGUGCCCUGAUCCGUGCCUGGGUGUAGGCCUCUUUCAUCUUGUCAGGCUUAUUGGGAGCUCCCUCCAGUGCCCUGUCUCCUCUAGUUUCCUCACUGGAGAACCCAGCACAGGCCUGGCCAAACGAGAACUCACGUUCUAAUUGAAUUGAUGACCACAUAGGUGAAUACUGCUCUAUACAUGGACUCGAGAGAGAGAGAGAAAAGAAAAGCCAGUUGGAAUGAAAAGUCUUUGCAUAGCUCUUGCUUCUGCCUGCACUGCUGGGUCCCUUGAUGGUCAUGUGUCAGAUUCCUUGUUGUUCAUAUCUCAGCUGCAACGUCACCUCCCUGGGUCAUUCCUGACUCCAUUACUUAAAGUAGCCACCCAGACACUCUUUAGCACAUUACCUUGUUGUAAUUCUCUGCACAGCACUUCUUGCCAUGUGAAGCUUUCCUUGGUGGUUUAUAGUUUGUUGCCUGUCUCCCCCAGAAAUACAGGUUAUUUAUACUGUGUUGCCUUUUUUUUUUUAAAUUUUUUUUAACGUUUAUUUAUUUUUGAGACAGAGAGAGACACAGCAUGAACGGGGGAGGGGCAGAGAGAGAGGGAGACACAGAAUCGGAAGCAGGCUCCAGGCUCUGAGCCAUCAGCCCAGAGCCCGACGCGGGGCUCGAACUCGUGGACCGCGAGAUCGUGAUCUGAGCUGAAGUCGGACACUUAACCGACUGAGCCACCCAGGUGCCCCC